rnacentral:rRNA from 1 species
AAGCGGAGGAGCAUAUCAAUAAAGAAACCAACAGGGAUUGCCCCAGUAACGGCGAGUGAAGCGGCAACAGCUCAAAUUUGAAAUCUGGCCCCCAGGGCCCGAGUUGUAAUUUGCAGAGGAUGCUUUUGGCGCGGUGCCUUCCGAGUUCCCUGGAACGGGACGCCAUAGAGGGUGAGAGCCCCGUCUGGUCGGACGCCUAGCCUGUGUAAAGCUCCUUCGACGAGUCGAGUAGUUUGGGAAUGCUGCUCUAAAUGGGAGGUAUAUGUCUUCUAAAGCUAAAUACCGGCCAGAGACCGAUAGCGCACAAGUAGAGUGAUCGAAAGAUGAAAAGCACUUUGAAAAGAGGGUUAAAUAGUACGUGAAAUUGUUGAAAGGGAAGCGCUUGUGACCAGACUUGGGCCCGGUGGAUCAUCCAGCGUUCUCGCUGGUGCACUCCGCCGGGUUCAGGCCAGCAUCAGUUCGCCGCGGGGGAAAAAGGCUUCGGGAACGUGGCUCCUACGGGAGUGUUAUAGCCCGUUGCAUAAUACCCUGGGGCGGACUGAGGUUCGCGCUCCGCAAGGAUGCUGGCGUAAUGGUCAUCAGCGACCCGUCUUGAAACACGGACCAAGGAGUCGUCUUCGUAUGCGAGUGUUCGGGUGUAAAACCCCUACGCGUAAUGAAAGUGAACGCAGGUGAGAGCUUCGGCGCAUCAUCGACCGAUCCUGAUGUUCUCGGAUGGAUUUGAGUAAGAGCAUACGGGGCCGGACCCGAAAGAAGGUGAACUAUGCCUGUAUAGGGUGAAGCCAGAGGAAACUCUGGUGGAGGCUCGCAGCGGUUCUGACGUGCAAAUCGAUCGUCAAAUAUGGGCAUGGGGGCGAAAGACUAAUCGAACCUUCUAGUAGCUGGUUUCCGCCGAAGAA